rnacentral:rRNA from 1 species
UACGGAGGGUGCGAGCGUUGUCCGGAAUCAUUGGGCGUAAAGGGCGCGUAGGCGGCCGUCCAAAGCGUGCGGUGAAAGUCAGGGGCUCAACCCCUGAUCGGCCGUGCGAACUGGGGGGCUCGAGCACUGUAGAGGCAGGCGGAAUUCCGGGUGUAGCGGUGGAAUGCGUAGAGAUCCGGAAGAACACCGGUGGCGAAGGCGGCCUGCUGGGCAGUGGCUGACGCUGAGGCGCGACAGCGUGGGGAGCAAACAGG